rnacentral:lncRNA from 1 species
AAACAGCGUGUCUUUUUAGCGUCCACUUAGCGUCUUCAUUCCAGCUUGGCGUCGAAAUUAACAAAGUUAGAAUUUACAGUCCUAACUAUUGGAGAAAGCAAGGGAAAUGGGAAUUGACAUAGGGAAGGCGGACGUAGGAGAAGAGCCACAGUUCAGUAAUUUCCUGCUGUAGCAAUUUAAUUUGAAGAAAGAGUGGGACGUAAGGAAAGGGGCAGACCACCCCUAUUUGUGAGGCCCCGUCAAAAGUGUAAAUGAAGGCCCACAUACUUUUUGACUGAAUAUUUAAAAGUUGUAAAUGAAGCUAUAUACUAAAGGAGAUACGUUCUAGCCUCCUACCUUAAAUAUAUCUUCCUAACAGUCUGGAAGAUCAAGUCCGAAUUUAGAAUUCUAGGACUGGAAUUCCAGGCAAGCAGAGCUGCCAAAAUCCUUCUCUACGCGUUCCACUUCCCCUUUACACCGCAUGGGCGGACACUUGGCCACCGCCGGGGCCUUGGGGUGAGCACACGCUCAGGAGGAUGGACCUAAAGAAACGCUUUUGCAAGCCCUGAAAACAACAGUGAUGAAGUAGAACUGCAUGUAACAAUAUGGAUACAUCUGAAAAAUACGCUGUUAAAUGAGCAAAACAGAUUGCAGACGGAUAGGAAGGCGUUGAAUUGAGAGAAGGAAGAUUAAAGAUGAAAUCAAGGGUGUGACUUAAAACCAUUCGUGAAGACCUCAGAAGAAACAAAGAUGGUGCCUCAGAAUACGAUUCAGUCACAUAGGAGCGCUUUAAAUAAAUUAAGGGUGUGCUCACAGAUUUUU